GACGAUCGCUGGCGGCGUGCCUAAUACAUGCAAGUCGAGCGAAUCAAAGGGAGCUUGCUCCCUUUGGUUAGCGGCGGACGGGUGAGUAACACGUGGGCAACCUGCCUGUAAGACUGGGAUAACUUCGGGAAACCGGAGCUAAUACCGGAUAAUUCCUUUCCUCCCAUGAGGAAAGGCUGAAAGACGGUUUACGCUGUCACUUACAGAUGGGCCCGCGGCGCAUUAGCUAGUUGGUGAGGUAACGGCUCACCAAGGCAACGAUGCGUAGCCGACCUGAGAGGGUGAUCGGCCACCCGGGGACCGAGACACGGCCCAGACUCCUACGGGAGGCAGCAGUAGGGAAUCUUCCGCAAUGGACGAAAGUCUGACGGAGCAACGCCGCGUGAGUGAUGAAGGCUUUCGGAUCGUAAAACUCUGUUGUUAGGGAAGAACAAGUAUGAGAGUAACUGCUCGUACCUUGACGGUACCUAACCAGAAAGCCACGGCUAACUACGUGCCAGCCGCCGCAGUAAUAC
rnacentral:rRNA from 1 species